GAUUAUGGCUCAGGAUGAACGCUGGCGGCGUGCUUAACACAUGCAAGUCGAACGGAGAUUACUUUUAGCUUGCUAUUUGUAAUCUUAGUGGCGGACGGGUGAGCAACGCGUGGGUAACCUGCCUUAUACAGGGGGAUAACAGUCGGAAACGACUGCUAAUACCGCAUAAGCGCACAGUAUCGCAUGAUAGAGUGUGAAAAGAUUUAUCGGUAUAAGAUGGACCCGCGUCUGAUUAGCUGGUUGGUGAGGUAACGGCCCACCAAGGCGACGAUCAGUAGCCGGCCUGAGAGGGUGAACGGCCACAUUGGGACUGAGACACGGCCCAAACUCCUACGGGAGGCAGCAGUGGGGAAUAUUGCACAAUGGGGGAAACCCUGAUUGCAGCGACGCCGCGUGAGUGAAGAAGUAUUUCGGUAUGUAAAGCUCUAUCAGCAGGGAAGAAAAUGACGGUACCUGACUAAGAAGCCCCGGCUAACUACGUGCCAGCCGCGGC
rnacentral:rRNA from 1 species